AUGGAAGGCAGCAGUGGGGAAUAUUGCACAAUGGGGGAAACCCUGAUGCAGCGACGCCGCGUGAGUGAAGAAGUAUUUCGGUAUGUAAAGCUCUAUCAGCAAGGAAGAAAAUGACGGUACUUGACUAAGAAGCCCCGGCUAACUACGUGCCAGCAGCCGCGGUAAUACGUAGGGGGCAAGCGUUAUCCGGAUUUACUGGGUGUAAAGGGAGCGUAGACGGCAUAGCAAGUCUGAAGUGAAAUGCAUGGGCUCAACCCAUGAACUGCUUUGGAAACUGUUAAGCUAGAGUGCAGGAGAGGUAAGUGGAAUUCCUAGUGUAGCGGUGAAAUGCGUAGAUAUUAGGAGGAACACCAGAGGCGAAGGCGGCUUACUGGACUGUAACUGACGUUGAGGCUCGAAAGCGUGGGGAGCAAACAGGAUUAGAUACCCUGGUA
rnacentral:rRNA from 1 species